rnacentral:sRNA from 1 species
CCCUUUGAAGGCAAGGACUAUGUCCUAUUCCACCUUGAAUUCUCAUCACCAAGCAGAACGCCUGACACCUAAUCUAGUCAGUGUUUACUAAGUGCUCACUAAGUGCUCAUUAUCAAUGCAAGAAUAACAGAGCUAUGGAACCUGGCAGGCACCUCAUUUCUCUGGGCCUCAGUCUUCUCAUGCAGAACUUGGGAUUGGACUAAAUUGGAUCUCCUAGGCUGCCUCUGACUCUAACAAUUCUCUGAUUUAAAUUAUUCUUCAUCUGGAUGUAAUCCACCUUGCUUUUCCAUCCCAGCCUCUGUUCUCACUCAUGGCUGAUGGGCAAAGGUGGCUAAGGAGGCACAGCUCCGUGCGGAUGUCCUUACAACUUUGCAGCCCCCAAGGAAAAAGAGGUUGUUUUCCCAGUAUCUACUGUAAAACCUAAGAGGAAAAUUUUGGGUUGCUGCAGCUUGGAUCAUGCAUUUAUCAUUUGGACCACCUCUGAGGACAGGGAGUUGCAGUCUGUGAGC